ensembl:lncRNA
CAUCCAGCCUGGAUUUGAACACCUCCAGGGAUGGGGCAUCCACCACUUCUCUGGGCUGCCUGUGCCAGGACCUCACCACAAUCUCAGUGCAAAAAUCCCCCCAUUCUCUAAUCUAAAUCUCACCUCUUUUAAUUUGGAAUAGAUCCUUUUUGUGCCAUCCCUAUCUACCCAUGUAAAAAGGGGAGAUGUUUCUACCCUCUUGUUUCUAAGCUCUCUGUCAGUACUGGAAGGCUUCAGUGUGUUCCCCUCCAAGUUGUUUCUACACACAGCUCCGGAUUUUACUCACACUUUACUCCAGGUUUACUCACCCUUUACUCUGGGCUUAGGCACACCUUACUCUGGGUUUUACUCAGCCUUUACUCCAAGUUUGCUCAACCUCUACUCAGGUUUUACUCACCCUCUAUUCCAGGUUUUAACACACUUUACUCUGUGUUUUACUCCCCCUUUACUCCAGGUUUACUCACCCUUUACUCCAGGUUUACUCAACCUUUACUCUGGGUUUAGUCACAGCUUACUCUGGGUUUUACUCACUCUUUACUCCAGGUUUUACACACACUUUCCUCCGGGUUUUACUCACUUUUUUCUCUUGUUUUACUCAGCCUUUACUCCAGGUUUACUCAACCUUUACUCAGCUUUUACACACCCUUUAUUCCAGGUUUACACACACUUUACUCUUGGUUUGGAUGCACCUCACUCCGGGUUUUACUCAGCCUUUACUCCGGGUUUACUCACCCUUUACUCUGGGUUUAAUCGCACCUCACUCCGGGUUUUACUCACCCUAUACUCCAGGUUUAGUCACCCUUUACUCCGGGUUUUACUCACACUUUACUCCAGGUUUACUCAACCUUCACUCAGCUUUUACACGCACUUUAUUCCAGGUUUACACGCACUUUACUCUGGGUUUACUCACACCUUACUCCGGAUUUCACUCACCCUUUACUCCGGGUUUACUCAAUCUCUACUCCGGGUUUUACUCCCCCUUUACUCCAGGUUUACUCACCCUUCACUCCGGUUUUACACACCCUUUAUUCCACGUUUACACACACUUUACUCUGGGUUUACUCUCACUUUACUCCGGGUUUCACUCCCCCUUUACUAUGGGUUUACUCACCCUUUACUCCGGUUUUACACACCCUUUAUUCCACGUUUACACACACUUUACUCCGCUCCAUAGAUGGGCCCCUGUGCCCCGUCGAUGCAACCCCUGCCCCAUAGAUUCGAUCCGUGCCCCAUAGAUGUGCCCCCCUGCCCCAUACAUGCAACCCCUGCCCCAUAGAUGUGCCCCCCUGCCCCAUAGAUGGGACCCCUGCCCCAUAGAUGGGAGUCCCUGCCCCAUAGAAGUGCCCCCCUGCCCC